rnacentral:tRNA from 1 species
GCGGGGGUAGCAAAGUCUGGAAAAUGCGCAGGACUUAAGAUCCUGUCCCUUAGUGGGUCCGUGGGUUCAAAUCCCACCCCCCGCA